NAACGGAACCCACCGGAGCCGUAGCGAAAGCGAGUCUUAAUAGGGCGAUUGUCACUGCUUAUGGACCCGAACCUGGGUGAUCUAUCCAUGACCAGGAUGAAGCUUGGAUGAAACUAAGCAGAGGUCUGAACCGACUGAUGUUGAAGAAUCAGCGGAUGAGUUGUGGUUAGGGGUGAAAUGCCACUCAAACCCAGAGCUAGCUGG
rnacentral:ncRNA from 1 species